GGAGGAGUGGCAGAGCGGCUGAUUGCGUCGGUUUCGAAAACCGAUUGUGCCUAACGGUACACGGGGGUUCAAAUCCCUCCUCCUCCGCCA
rnacentral:tRNA from 2 species